rnacentral:rRNA from 1 species
UACGGGGGGAGCAAGCGUUGUUCGGAUUUACUGGGCGUAAAGGGCGCGUAGGCGGUCAGCACAAGUCAGUUGUGAAAUCUCCGGGCUUAACUCGGAAAGGUCAACUGAUACUGUGCGACUAGAGUGCAGAAGGGCAACUGGAAUUCUCGGUGUAGCGGUGAAAUGCGUAGAUAUCGAGAGGAACACCUGCGGCGAAGGCGGUUCUCUGGGACGGUACUGACGCUGAGACGCGAAAGCGUGGGAGCGAA